CCUACGGGAGGCAGCAGUGGGGAAUAUUGGGCAAUGGGCGCAAGCCUGACCCAGCAACGCCGCGUGAAGGAAGAAGGCUUUCGGGUUGUAAACUUCUUUUCUCAGGGACGAAGAAAGUGACGGUACCUGAGCAAUAAGCCACGGCUAACUACGUGCCAGCAGCCGCGGCAAUACGUAGGUGGCAAGCGUUAUUCGGCUUAAUUGGGGGUAAAGGGCGUGUAGGCGGGGGCGCAAGUCAGGUGUGAAAACUAAGGGCUCAACCCUGAGCCUGCAUUUGAUACUGUGUUUCUUGAGUGCUGGAGGGGCAAUCGGAAUUCCGGGUGUAGCGGUGAAAUGCGUAGAUAUACGGAGGAACACCAGUGGCGAAGGCGGAUUGCUGGACAGUAACUGACGCUGAGGCGCGAAGGCGUGGGGAGCAAACAGGAUUAGAUACCCUUGUAGUC
rnacentral:rRNA from 1 species